rnacentral:rRNA from 1 species
UACGUAGGGACCAAGCGUUGUUCGGAUUUACUGGGCGUAAAGGGCGCGUAGGCGGCAUGACAAGUCACUUGUGAAAUCUCCGGGCUUAACCCGGAACUGCCAAGUGAUACUGUCGCGCUAGAGUGCGGAAGGGGCAAUCGGAAUUCUCGGUGUAGCGGUGAAAUGCGUAGAUAUCGAGAGGAACACCUGAGGUGAAGACGGGUUGCUGGGCCUUACCUGACGCUGAGGAGCGAAAGCAUGGGGAGCAAACAGG